AUAGUACUCCCUCUGUCUGAAAUUAUUUGUCACAGGAAUUGAUAAAAGUGGAUGUAUCUAGAACUAAAAUACGUCUAGAUACAUCCAUUUCUUUGACAAGUAUUUUCGGAUGGAGGGAGUAUAUG
rfam:Triticum aestivum genome assembly, contig: Triticum_aestivum_CS42_TGACv1_scaffold_249597_3DL